UGACCAAAGUGCCCAGUCGAUAGUCACCAAUGGAUGAAAUGAAACCUAACUACCUGAAGUGAUAGUACCCUGCAUCUCACCAAGUGCUAGGCUGCGCGCUGCCGUCACGCUUCUCUUGCUCCAUAUGCAUUAGGGAGCGCCAGCCUGUCCUGCCCCCAACCUCCCCAGACGCUGAGUGCAUGAGUGACACGCUGCCUCAGCCAUGUGUUGCGAGCUGUACGGGGGGCGCCCCCUGUGCCCCCGCCUGCUGGACUACAUCGUGAUAGUGGGGGCGCGGUCCCCCCCUCGCCCCUCAUCCCCCAUCCACCCCCCAGACC